AGUCGGUAGAGCGACUUUAAAAAGGCAUUAGGCUCUACGCGUUCCAGGAGGAAACUCCUGGAGGUUGUU
rnacentral:ribozyme from 10 species